rnacentral:rRNA from 1 species
CGGAAUCUACUCUUUCGUGGGGGAUAACGUAGGGAAACUUACGCUAAUACCGCAUACGACCUACGGGUGAAAGCCGGGGACCUUCGGGCCUGGCGCGAAUGAAUGAGCCGAUGCCCGAUUAGCUAGUUGGCGGGGUAAGAGCCCACCAAGGCGACGAUCGGUAGCUGGUCUGAGAGGAUGAUCAGCCACACUGGAACUGAGACACGGUCCAGACUCCUACGGGAGGCAGCAGUGGGGAAUAUUGGACAAUGGGCGCAAGCCUGAUCCAGCCAUACCGCGUGGGUGAAGAAGGCCUUCGGGUUGUAAAGCCCUUUUGUUGGGAAAGAAAAGCAGCUGGUUAAUACCCGGUUGUUCUGACGGUACCCAUAGAAUAAGCACCGGCUAACUUCGUGCCAGCAGCCGCGGUAAUACGAAGGGUGCAAGCGUUACUCGGAAUUACUGGGCGUAAAGCGUGCGUAGGUGGUUGUUUAAGUCUGUCGUGAAAGCCCCGGGCUCAACCUGGGAAUUGCGAUGGAAACUGGGCGACUAGAGUGUGGCAGAGGAUAGUGGAAUUCCUGGU